GGUUAAGUUAGAAAGGGCGCACGGUGGAUGCCUUGACACUAGGAGUCGAUGAAGGACGGGACUAACGCCGAUAUGCUUCGGGGAGCUGUAAGUAAGCUUUGAUCCGAAGAUUUCCGAAUGGGGAAACCCACCAUACGUAAUGGUAUGGUAUCCUUAUCUGAAUACAUAGGGUAAGGAAGACAGACCCAGGGAACUGAAACAUCUAAGUACCUGGAGGAAGAGAAAGCAAAUGCGAUUUCCUGAGUAGCGGCGAGCGAAACGGAACAUAGCCCAAACCAAGAGGCUUGCCUCUUGGGGUUGUAGGACAUUCUAUACGGAGUUACAAAGGAACGAGGUAGACGAAGCGACCUGGAAAGGUCCGUCGUAGAGGGUAACAACCCCGUAGUCGAAACUUCGUUCUCUCUUGAAUGUAUCCUGAGUACGGCGGAACACGUGAAAUUCCGUCGGAAUCUGGGAGGACCAUCUCCCAAGGCUAAAUACUCCCUAGUGAUCGAUAGUGAACCAGUACCGUGAGGGAAAGGUGAAAAGCACCCCGGAAGGGGAGUGAAAGAGAUCCUGAAACCGUGUGCCUACAAAUAGUCAGAGCCCGUUAACGGGUGAUGGCGUGCCUUUUGUAGAAUGAACCGGCGAGUUACGAUCCCGUGCGAGGUUAAGCUGAAGAGGCGGAGCCGCAGCGAAAGCGAGUCUGAAUAGGGCGUUUAGUACGUGGUCGUAGACCCGAAACCAGGUGAUCUACCCAUGUCCAGGGUGAAGUUCAGGUAACACUGAAUGGAGGCCCGAACCCACGCACGUUGAAAAGUGCGGGGAUGAGGUGUGGGUAGCGGAGAAAUUCCAAUCGAACCUGGAGAUAGCUGGUUCUCCCCGAAAUAGCUUUAGGGCUAGCCUUAAGUGUAAGAGUCUUGGAGGUAGAGCACUGAUUGGACUAGGGGUCCUCAUCGGAUUACCGAAUUCAGUCAAACUCCGAAUGCCAAUGACUUAUCCUUAGGAGUCAGACUGCGAGUGAUAAGAUCCGUAGUCAAAAGGGAAACAGCCCAGACCGCCAGCUAAGGUCCCAAAGUGUGUAUUAAGUGGAAAAGGAUGUGGAGUUGCUUAGACAACUAGGAUGUUGGCUUAGAAGCAGCCACCAUUUAAAGAGUGCGUAAUAGCUCACUAGUCGAGUGACUCUGCGCCGAAAAUGUACCGGGGCUAAAUACACCACCGAAGCUGCGGAUUGAUACCAAUGGUAUCAGUGGUAGGGGAGCGUUCUAAGGACAGUGAAGUCAGACCGGAAGGACUGGUGGAGUGCUUAGAAGUGAGAAUGCCGGUAUGAGUAGCGAAAGACGGGUGAGAAUCCCGUCCACCGAAUGCCUAAGGUUUCCUGAGGAAGGCUCGUCCGCUCAGGGUUAGUCAGGACCUAAGCCGAGGCCGACAGGCGUAGGCGAUGGACAACAGGUUGAUAUUCCUGUACCACCUCUUUAUCGUUUGAGCAAUGGAGGGACGCAGAAGGAUAGAAGAAGCGUGCGAUUGGUUGUGCACGUCCAAGCAGUUAGGCUGAUAAGUAGGCAAAUCCGCUUAUCGUGAAGGCUGAGCUGUGAUGGGGAAGCUCCUUAUGGAGCGAAGUCUUUGAUUCCCCGCUGCCAAGAAAAGCUUCUAGCGAGAUAAAAGGUGCCUGUACCGCAAACCGACACAGGUAGGCGAGGAGAGAAUCCUAAGGUGUGCGAGAGAACUCUGGUUAAGGAACUCGGCAAAAUGACCCCGUAACUUCGGGAGAAGGGGUGCUUUCUUAACGGAAAGCCGCAGUGAAUAGGCCCAAGCGACUGUUUAGCAAAAACACAGCUCUCUGCGAAGCCGUAAGGCGAAGUAUAGGGGGUGACACCUGCCCGGUGCUGGAAGGUUAAGGAGAGGGGUUAGCGUAAGCGAAGCUCUGAACUGAAGCCCCAGUAAACGGCGGCCGUAACUAUAACGGUCCUAAGGUAGCGAAAUUCCUUGUCGGGUAAGUUCCGACCCGCACGAAAGGUGUAACGAUUUGGGCACUGUCUCAACCAGAGACUCGGUGAAAUUAUAGUACCUGUGAAGAUGCAGGUUACCCGCGACAGGACGGAAAGACCCCGUGGAGCUUUACUGUAGCCUGAUAUUGAAUUUUGGUACAGUUUGUACAGGAUAGGCGGGAGCCAUGGAAACCGGAGCGCUAGCUUCGGUGGAGGCGCUGGUGGGAUACCGCCCUGACUGUAUUGAAAUUCUAACCUACGGGUCUUAUCGACCCGGGAGACAGUGUCAGGUGGGCAGUUUGACUGGGGCGGUCGCCUCCUAAAGUGUAACGGAGGCGCCCAAAGGUUCCCUCAGAAUGGUUGGAAAUCAUUCGUAGAGUGCAAAGGCAUAAGGGAGCUUGACUGCGAGACCUACAAGUCGAGCAGGGACGAAAGUCGGGCUUAGUGAUCCGGUGGUUCCGCAUGGAAGGGCCAUCGCUCAACGGAUAAAAGCUACCCCGGGGAUAACAGGCUUAUCUCCCCCAAGAGUCCACAUCGACGGGGAGGUUUGGCACCUCGAUGUCGGCUCAUCGCAUCCUGGGGCUGUAGUCGGUCCCAAGGGUUGGGCUGUUCGCCCAUUAAAGCGGUACGCGAGCUGGGUUCAGAACGUCGUGAGACAGUUCGGUCCCUAUCCGUCGUGGGCGUAGGAAAUUUGAGAGGAGCUGUCCUUAGUACGAGAGGACCGGGAUGGACGCACCGCUGGUGUACCAGUUGUUCUGCCAAGGGCAUAGCUGGGUAGCUAUGUGCGGAAGGGAUAAGUGCUGAAAGCAUCUAAGCAUGAAGCCCCCUCAAGAUGAGAUUUCCCAUAGCGUAAGCUAGUAAGAUCCCUGAAAGAUGAUCAGGUUGAUAGGUUCGAGGUGGAAGCAUGGUGACAUGUGGAGCUGACGAAUACUAAUAGAUCGAGGACUUAACCAU
rnacentral:rRNA from 1 species